AUUAGAGGAUGAGUCAUGUCCAUACAACAGUGGGUGAAUUUGCAUAUUAAAAUAUGUAAAAGGCGUCAUAUGAAUAUACUCGUACGUCCUACUUAUUUGAGUUUUCGAGUUAUAAAUGAUUACAAAAAAUGUUCGAAGUUUUCACCUCGUUUUCUUCUUAAAGCAUUCUUUAACAGUAUCUUCGCAAGCUGAUAAACAGGGUAAGAUGGACCCAUUGCAUGGCCACUGUGAUAUAGAUCCAUUAGGUUUUUGUUUUUGGAAUCGUUUAAAAUCUAUUGUGUAUUCGAUGCAAACGAAUAACGUACAUGAUCUGCUGAAAAAGAUACAAAAUACAAAUUUGGAUCUAUUCGAAGAAUAGUAUUUUCGAGCGAGUACGGAGCUCAAUGUUACGGCGCGCAGUACCUAGAUGAUGUUGAGGCACAAAGCAGACAUUUUGAACAUCUUCUUUAAUCGUGCAUAACUCGAAAAUUAAGUAUUUAAUACUAUGCGUUUUUACCACGCUAGAAACAGACACAUUGAUUACAUUUCCUAUCCCGAAUGAUACACAAACCAACUAGUAACAUUUUAUUUGUCCAUUUUGAAAUAACAAUCAUAUUCGUUAAUUUGCAAAAAGAAUCAAAAUUCUGAUUUAUUUCGAGUAUAAGUUUGUAGUUUACAUAUACAAAUGUUUGUGAAAAUCGAUAAAUAUUUAAAAGAGGAAUUAAUAAAAAGGAGUUCCAAGUUUCAUUUUUACCAAAAAAUGUGAUUGUUUUAACAAAAAUACAAUACGUGAAAUUUCCAUAGUUCCCCGCAAUAUUGUAUGCGAUAUGUAAUAUUAGAGCGAUAAAAAGGACAACUGAACAAUUAUA